rnacentral:rRNA from 1 species
UAAACCGCUUUCGCCUGUGACGAAGCGUGAGUGACGGUAAUGGGUAAAGAAGCACCGGCUAACUACGUGCCAGCAGCCGCGGUGAUACGUAGGGUGCGAGCGUUGUCCGGAUUUAUUGGGCGUAAAGGGCUCGUAGGUGGUUGAUCGCGUCGGAAGUGUAAUCUUGGGGCUUAACCCUGAGCGUGCUUUCGAUACGGGUUGACUUGAGGAAGGUAGGGGAGAAUGGAAUUCCUGGUGGAGCGGUGGAAUGCGCAGAUAUCAGGAGGAACACCAGUGGCGAAGGCGGUUCUCUGGGCCUUUCCUGACGCUGAGGAGCGAAAGCGUGGGGAGCGAACAGGCUUAGAUACCCUGGUAGUCCACGCUGUAAACGGUGGGUACUAGGUGUGGGGUCCAUUCCACGGGUUCCGUGCCGUAGCUAACGCUUUAAGUACCCCGCCUGGGGAGUACGGCCGCAAGGCUAAAACUCAAAGGAAUUGACGGGGCCCCGCACAAGCGGCGGAGCAUGCGGAUUAAUUCGAUGCAACGCGUAGAACCUUACCUGGGUUUGACAUGGAUCGGGAGUGCUCAGAGAUGGGUGUGCCUCUUUUGGGGUCGGUUCACAGGUGGUGCAUGGCUGUCGUCAGCUCGUGUCGUGAGAUGUUGGGUUAAGUCCCGCAACGAGCGCAACCCUUGUUCACUGUUGCCAGCACGUUAUGGUGGGGACUCAGUGGAGACCGCCGGGGUCAACUCGGAGGAAGGUGGGGAUGACGUCAAGUCAUCAUGCCCCUUAUGUCCAGGGCUUCACGCAUGCUACAAUGGCUGGUACAGAGAGUGGCGAGCCUGUGAGGGUGAGCGAAUCUCGGAAAGCCGGUCUCAGUUCGGAUUGGGGUCUGCAACUCGACCUCAUGAAGUCGGAGUCGCUAGUAAUCGCAGAUCAGCAACGCUGCGGUGAAUACGUUCCCGGGGCUUGUACACACCGCCCGU